rnacentral:rRNA from 1 species
UACGUAGGGGGCAAGCGUUGUCCGGAAUCAUUGGGCGUAAAGCGCGCGUAGGCGGCCCGGUAAGUCCGUUGUGAAAGUCAAAGGCUCAACCUUUGAACGCCGAUGGAUACUGCCGGGCUAGAGUCCGGAAGAGGCGAGUGGAAUUCCUGGUGUAGCGGUGGAAUGCGCAGAUAUCAGGAGGAACACCAAUAGCGAAGGCAGCUCGCUGGGACGGU